CAGUCGCCGCGGGAAUACGGAGGGUGCAAGCGUUAAUCGGAAUUACUGGGCGUAAAGCGUGCGUAGGCGGUUCGUUAAGUCUGUUGUGAAAGCCCCGGGCUCAACCUGGGAAUGGCAAUGGAUACUGGCGAGCUAGAGUGUGUCAGAGGAUGGUGGAAUUCCCGGUGUAGCGGUGAAAUGCGUAGAGGUCGGGAGGAACAUCAGUGGCGAAGGCGGCCAUCUGGGACAACACUGACGCUGAGGCACGAAAGCGUGGGGAGCAAACAGGAUUAGAUACCCCAGUAGUCCCUGUCUCUUAUAA
rnacentral:rRNA from 1 species